UGUUCUGUAGCUUAGUUGGUUAAAGCGCCGGACUAGCGAUAACGGAGUCGUAAGUUCGAAUCCCACCAAAACAA
rnacentral:tRNA from 1 species